UCGAGGAUCUUCGGCAAUGGGCGCAAGCCUGACCGAGCGACGCCGCGUGUGGGAUGAAGGCCUUCGGGUUGUAAACCACUGUCAGUGGGGAGAAAAUGCUGGUAGGUACUCCUAUCAGUUUGAUCUAUCCGCAGAGGAAGUCAGGGCUAAGUUCGUGCCAGCAGCCGCGGUAAGACGAACCUGACGAACGUUAUUCGGAAUCACUGGGCUUAAAGGGUGCGUAGGCUGUGCAGAAAGUUGGGUGUGAAAUCCCUCGGCUUAACCGAGGAACUGCGCCCAAAACUACUGUGCUUGAGGGAGAUAGAGGUGAGCGGAACUCAGGGUGGAGCGGUGAAAUGCGUUGAUAUCCUGAGGAACACCUGUGGCGAAAGCGGCUCACUGGGUCUCUUCUGACGCUGAGGCACGAAAGCUAGGGGAGCAAACGGGAUUAGAUACCCGUGUAGUCC
rnacentral:rRNA from 1 species